rnacentral:rRNA from 1 species
UACGUAGGGGGCAAGCGUUGUCCGGAUUUAUUGGGCGUAAAGAGCGUGUAGGCGGCCUGAAAGGUCAGCUGUGAAAACUCGAGGCUCAACCUCGAGACGUCGGUUGAAACCAUCUGGCUAGAGUCCGGAAGAGGAGUGUGGAAUUCCCGGUGUAGCGGUGAAAUGCGCAGAUAUCAGGAAGAACACCCGUGGCGAAGGCGGCUCUCUGGGACGGUACUGGACGCUGAGACGCGAAAGCGUGGGGAGCGAACAGG